CUUUUUGUCAAAAAAAGAGGGUUUGGCUGGUGAAGGGUGCUGGAGAGCUUAGAAAGAGAGAGAACUCAAAGAGUGUAGAGAGAGAAACCCAUAUUUGGGUGAAAGAUUGGAAGAAGGAAGAGCCAUUGUAAGAGGAGCUCAAGAAAUUCUACAAAAUCAAAAUUUUAGGGUCAACUACAAGGUUGAACCAGGCAUCUGAACACUGAUAAUUUCUGGUGACUAAGCCAAUUUGGAUUAUUAAUCUAUAAAUAAUGAUGAUGAGUUAAACAUCUAUGGUGAGAUUUUAGUGAUAAGGAUGCUACUUGAAGACAAAGAUUGAAGGAGACAAAACUAUAUAAUUUGAUUGCGGUACAAGCGAUACAAGUUUGGAGGACCAAACUUCCUAAAGGAGGGAAGAAUGUGAUAACCCAACCAGCAAUAAACUUAAUUACACAUGUGAUUAUGUGUUUGAUAUAAAUUUGUAUGUUUAAUUAUGUGAGUUCUUAUAUGAUUAUGAAUUUAUAACUGUUGGGUGUAGAAAAAAAAAUUUGUUGCAAUUGGAACCUUGAACUGAAAAUUUAUAGCCUUAGAGACGCCAAAAA